rnacentral:rRNA from 1 species
CACGUAGGGCGCAAGCGUUGUCCGGAAUUAUUGGGCGUAAAGAGCUCGUAGGCGGUCUGUUGCGUCCGCUGUGAAAACUCGGGGCUUAACCCCGAGCCUGCAGUGGAUACGGGCAGACUAGAGGUAGGUAGGGGAGAAUGGAAUUCCCGGUGUAGCGGUGAAAUGCGCAGAUAUCGGGAGGAACACCGGUGGCGAAGGCGGUUCUCUGGGCAUGUCCCUGACGCUGAGGAGCGAAAGUGGUGGGGAGCGAAACAGG